UACGGAGGGUGCAAGCGUUAUCCGGAUUCACUGGGUUUAAAGGGUGCGUAGGUGGGUUGGUAAGUCAGUGGUGAAAUCUCCGAGCUUAACUUGGAAACUGCCAUUAUACUAUUAAUCUUGAAUAUUGUGGAGGUCAGCGGAAUAUGUCAUGUAGCGGUGAAAUGCUUAGAGAUGACAUAGAACACCAAUUGCGAAGGCAGCUGGCUACACAUAUAUUGACACUGAGGCACGAAAGCGUGGGGAUCAAACAGG
rnacentral:rRNA from 1 species